rfam:Triticum urartu cultivar G1812 contig559466, whole genome shotgun sequence.
GUAGUACUCCGUCCGCCCGGAAAUACUUGUCAUCAAAAUGAAUAAAAGGGGAUGUAUCUAAAUGUAUAUUAGUUCUAUAUACAUCUUUUUUAUCCAUUAAGAUGACAAGUAUUUUUGGACGGAGGGAGUACUUG